UACGUAGGGGGCAAGCGUUGUCCGGAUUUAUUGGGCGUAAAGAGCGUGUAGGCGGCCAGGUAGGUCGGCUGUGAAAACUCGAGGCUCAACCUCGAGACGCCGGUUGAAACCAUCUGGCUAGAGUCCGGAAGAGGAGAGUGGAAUUCCUGGUGUAGCGGUGAAAUGCGCAGAUAUCAGGAAGAACACCCGUGGCGAAGGCGGCUCUCUAGUACGGUACUGACGCUGAGACGCGAAAGCGUGGGGAGCGAACAGG
rnacentral:rRNA from 1 species